rnacentral:rRNA from 1 species
GACGAACGCUGGCGGCGUGCUUAACACAUGCAAGUCGAACGGAGAGGCCCUGCUUUUGUGGGGUGCUCGAGUGGCGAACGGGUGAGUAACACGUGAGUAACCUGCCCUUGACUUUGGGAUAACUUCAGGAAACUGGGGCUAAUACCGGAUAGGAGCUCCUGCUGCAUGGUGGGGGUUGGAAAGUUUCGGCGGUUGGGGAUGGACUCGCGGCUUAUCAGCUUGUUGGGGGGGUAGUGGCUUACCAAGGGUUUGACGGGUAGCCGGCCUGAGAGGGUGACCGGCCACCUUGGGACUGAGAUACGGCCCAGACUCCUACGGGAGGCAGCAGUGGGGAAUAUUGCACAAUGGGCGGAAGCCUGAUGCAGCAACGCCGCGUGCGGGAUGACGGCCUUCGGGUUGUAAACCGCUUUCGCCUGUGACGAAGCGUGAGUGACGGUAAUGGGUAAAGAAGCACCGGCUAACUACGUG